GAAAAAUGGCCACUACUUUGAAAGUUUUCAACCGUGUUCGACCAUCACUUAAGUAAAUUAAUCGUGGAAACUGCAUUAAAAUUUUAAAGGAUAUCGAGGUGGAGGACCUCACCCUCCACGUUCCUGGCGACCUUGUGCUGGGACACCAGAGGUUGAUGGCCCGGGCGCCCAGCUCUAUGAGUUGAACAGCAGGACACUCUCGCUGUGUUUAAAGGAUAUCGAGGUGGAGGACCUCACCCUCCACGUUCCUGGCGACCUUGUGCUGGGACACCAGAGGUUGAUGGCCCGGGCGCCCAGCUCUAUGAGUUGAACAGCAGGACACUCUCGCUGUGGUAUGUUUGAUGCUUUGGACAGUGUUACGGUGACAUGCUUGAAUCCCACGCUCUCAAUGGUGUACAUGGAACCAAAAUACUAUCUCGUAAUCCGUUCUCGGGUUCACCAGGACGCAGCGAGAGAAGGAGAGGACUGUGUUGGCUGCAUCGCACAACUCCGCCACUAGGGGGGCGGUGUCUCAACAGAAAGAAUACCCAACCCAUGAGUUAUUAUUACAAUUAUUAGAAUAGAGAUAUUAAUAAGAAACUAAAAUUUAGAACGCUUCACGAGUUUGC